GACACGGCCCAGACUCCUACGGGAGGCAGCAGUGGGGAAUAUUGCACAAUGGGCGCAAGCCUGAUGCAGCGACGCCGCGUGAGGGAUGGAGGCCUUCGGGUUGUAAACCUCUUUCGCCAGUGAAGCAGGCCAUCUUCUUUGUGGGGUGGUUGACGGUAGCUGGAUAAGAAGCGCCGGCUAACUACGUGCCAGCAGCCGCGGUAAUACGUAGGGCGCGAGCGUUGUCCGGAAUUAUUGGGCGUAAAGAGCUCGUAGGCGGCUGGUCGCGUCUGUCGUGAAAUCCCCUGGCUUAACUGGGGGCUUGCGGUGGGUACGGGCCGGCUUGAGUGCGGUAGGGGAGACUGGAAUUCCUGGUGUAGCGGUGGAAUGCGCAGAUAUCAGGAGGAACACCGGUGGCGAAGGCGGGUCUCUGGGCCGUUACUGACGCUGAGGAGCGAAAGCGUGGGGAGCGAACAGGAUUAGAUACCCUGGUAGUCCACGCCGUAAACGUUGGGCACUAGGUGUGGGGGCUCUUUCCGGGGUUUCCGCGCCGUAGCUAACGCAUUAAGUGCCCCGCCUGGGGAGUACGGCCGCAAGGCUAAAACUCAAAGGAAUUGACGGGGGCCCGCACAAGCGGCGGAGCAUGCGGAUUAAUUCGAUGCAACGCGAAGAACCUUACCAAGGCUUGACAUGUGAGCGUCUGCCUCAGAGAUGGGGUUUCCUCCUUGUGGGGCGCUUUCACAGGUGGUGCAUGGUUGUCGUCAGCUCGUGUCGUGAGAUGUUGGGUUAAGUCCC
rnacentral:rRNA from 1 species